UACAGAGGGGGCAAGCGUUGUUUCGGAAUUACUGGGCGUAAAGGGCGCGUAGGCGGCCUGCUAAGUCGAACGUGAAAUCCCCGAGCUCAACUCGGGAACUGCGUCCGAUACUGGCAGGCUUGAAUCCGGGAGAGGGAUGCGGAAUUCCAGGUGUAGCGGUGAAAUGCGUAGAUAUCUGGAGGAACACCGGUGGCGAGGCGGCAUCCUGGACCGGCAUUGACGCUGAGGCGCGAAAAGCCAGGGGGAGCAAACGGGG
rnacentral:rRNA from 1 species